GAUGAACGCUGGCGGCGUGCCUAAUACAUGCAAGUCGAGCGAACAGACGAGGAGCUUGCUCCUCUGACGUUAGCGGCGGACGGGUGAGUAACACGUGGAUAACCUACCUAUAAGACUGGGAUAACUUCGGGAAACCGGAGCUAAUACCGGAUAACAUGUUGAACCGCAUGGUUCAACAGUGAAAGACGGUCUUGCUGUCACUUAUAGAUGGAUCCGCGCCGCAUUAGCUAGUUGGUAAGGUAACGGCUUACCAAGGCAACGAUGCGUAGCCGACCUGAGAGGGUGAUCGGCCACACUGGAACUGAGACACGGUCCAGACUCCUACGGGAGGCAGCAGUAGGGAAUCUUCCGCAAUGGGCGAAAGCCUGACGGAGCAACGCCGCGUGAGUGAAGAAGGUCUUCGGAUAGUAAAAAUCUGUUAUUAGGGAAGAACAAAUGUGUAAGUAACUAUGCACGUCUUGACGGUACCUAAUCAGAAAGCCACGGCUAACUACGUG
rnacentral:rRNA from 1 species